CGGGUGAGGAACGCGUGGACAACCUACCCCGGCGUGGGGGAUACCCGCCAGAAAUGGUGGCUAAUACCGCGUACGGUCGUCUGACGGAGGGUUGGACGAAGAAAGCAGUGAUGCGCGCUGGGAGGGGUCUGCGGCCGAUUAGCUUGUUGGCGGGGUAGUGGCCCACCAAGGCGAUGAUCGGUAGCUGGUCUGAGAGGAUGGUCAGCCACACUGGGACUGAGAUACGGCCCAG
rnacentral:rRNA from 1 species